CCUACGGGUGGCAGCAGUGAGGAAUAUUGGUCAAUGGGCGUAAGCCUGAACCAGCCAAGUCGCGUGAGGGAUGAAGGUUCUAUGGAUCGUAAACCUCUUUUAUAAGGGAAUAAAGUGCGGGACGUGUCCCGUUUUGUAUGUACCUUAUGAAUAAGGAUCGGCUAACUCCGUGCCAGCAGCCGCGGUAAUACGGAGGAUCCGAGCGUUAUCCGGAUUUAUUGGGUUUAAAGGGUGCGUAGGCGGCCUUUUAAGUCAGCGGUGAAAGGCUGUGGCUCAACCAUGGAAUUGCCGUUGAAACUGGGAGGCUAGAGUAUGUUUGAGGCAGGCGGAAUGCGUGGUGUAGCGGUGAAAUGCUUAGAUAUCACGCAGAACCCCGAUUGCGAAGGCAGCAUGCCAAGCCAAGACUGACGCUGAUGCACGAAAGCGUGGGGAUCAAACAGGAUUAGAUACCCUAGUAGUC
rnacentral:rRNA from 1 species